CUGGAAGGUAAAGAAGAGGGAGGGUGGAGGGCUAAGAGGGUGUGUGAGGGGAAAUAAAGGUUGCACCUUGCUGUGUCAUUUCACAGGCUAAUCUCUAAUAAGCUCUAACCUGCACACAAUAAAAUACCUGACAAAUAUUAACACAUAAAGAAAAUGUACUACACUUGUUAAUGGUCUCUAAACCAUUUAGGUGGGAUAGUGACAUGUAGUGUAAACAAUACAAAUGUGGGCUUUUCCAUUUAGGCACUGUAUUUAGUUUAACAUCUAAAUUGAGAGACCCAUCUGCUCUCUGAAGCAUAUCUCUGACAUUGUACAAGGAUACUUUAGAGACCAAAAAAACUGGCCAUUUAGUCAAAAGGAUUCUUUCUAUGCUUGAGAGUCUUGGGACGAACUGAUCAAUGAAUAUUGGCAUUCCAUCUUACAAAGUAGGGCUAUGCUACAUAUUACAAAUCUGUUUUAAAAGCAGUAUUACUGUAUGCAAUACACACAUUGCGAAGAACUGUCUGAACUACAAUAAAUGUUAGCUAAGUAUUUAAGUAACAUGAAUUUAUGCUUUUCGUGUCUGUUAUAUAUUUAAGAGGCACUUGUUCAAUGCAAAAUAACACAACUAAGUUAUCAAAUGCCAAAGCAGCAGACAGUGGCCAGAAGCAACUUUUCCAACAAAACGUUGGAAAUCGUUAGGGCAAGGCAAAUUUAUUAGCACAUUUCAGUAACAAGACAAUUCAAACUGCUUCACAUCAUGAAAUCAUGAAAAAAAAAAAACAAUAAAGGCAAGGAAAGAAAAGUUGUACUAUAGACUAAAAUGUAUGUUUUAGUUAAUAGUGUCAAAGUCUGGUUGUCUCCGUGCCUGCUGCUUCCUUUUUCCACCUCUAGGGGCCGCGGAGCUGGAGGACCGAAGGUGUGACAGGUGUUCUUCAAUGACUCAUCAGUUCAGAGGACUAUAUGAGGGCGGCUCACCUGCACUUCUGCGCCUGAGUGUUUUUGCCCUUCGUGCACCUCUGACCACAGUAUGGACUAUGGAUUAAUUCCAUGCAGCGGGCUACCCUGGUUACCUCUCUGUCUGGUCUAGCGAACCCUGUCCACCCUCCUACGGUUCCUCCUGGAUCCUGGAUCAUCAAGAAGCCCCAACGGGAUCAGCACUACCUCACUGUCCCAGACCCACAACCAUCUCCCCCCUGGCAGAUCGCCCCACCCGAAUAUCAGACAGGCUUCCUGGAAACUUCGCUUCUUGUACAUUUCACAAAUUGUUAAUAAAUUCUUUAAACGUUUCUCUGUUUGAGUGUGGGUCAAAUCGGCCUUAAAAACGAUGACAAAUAGUGUAAACAUUGAAUAGUCAAAGGCAACUCUAAACAAAUGGGUUUUUAAACUUCAUUCAAAAGAACUUGGUCUGAGCUUGACAAACCAAGAGUUGAAGAGUUUGUCACUGGGGCGGUACCCUCAAAGGUACUGCUAUUGUACCCUCAACAGUGGGCACUUACGUGUGCCCUUUUAGAUUGUACAAGUUCAGAAUUGUACAUUUGGUGAUGUUGGGACCCACAGCCAUGGAUUUCAACAUUA